UACGUAGGGUGCAAGCGUUAUCCGGAAUUAUUGGGCGUAAAGAGCUCGUAGGCGGUUUGUCGCGUCUGCCGUGAAAGUCCGGGGCUCAACUCCGGAUCUGCGGUGGGUACGGGCAGACUAGAAUGAUGUAGGGGAGACUGGAAUUCCUGGUGUAGCGGUGAAAUGCGCAGAUAUCAGGAGGAACACCGAUGGCGAAGGCAGGUCUCUGGGCAUUAACUGACGCUGAGGAGCGAAAGCAUGGGGAGCGAACAGG
rnacentral:rRNA from 1 species